UGCCACUCAGCACGCGCACAGCUGCCUGCUCCAGCAGGUCCUGCAGGUACACGAAGCCGCCCCACACAUACCGAAGGUCCAUGAGGGGAUCUGCUGACGGACCUGGGUCCCAAAACCUGAGAGAUGCCAGAUUCACCGGUGGCCAGGACCCGUGGUGGUUGGAGAUGGCGGUUCAGAUGAGUCCAGAGGGUGCUCUGGGCUCAGGAAGACGAUGCCUGCCCAGAGGCGGCGCUCACCCAGCAGCUCCAGGGCACGGGACACAAGAGCUUCCUCUGAGGGCACAGCCUCCAGCUUGUCCAGGGACACACACUGUAGCAGCGGAACAUGCAUCCCAGGUUCUGGGGUGUGACUGAACCCCCAAGCCCAUGACUCCUUCCCCUGGGUUCCUUGUUCCCGUAGGAGACCAUAUACAUGGCCAGGAGGCCCCCUCUUGAGAUGUCUCUUUGCUCUGUCCUCCAGAGCCAGAGAAAGACUCUCUCUGCCUUCUAUGAUGACGACCCCUUACCUCCAAGAUUUGGCCCAGUAUUUCUGCCAGGCGCCCCAUGUCUGCAUGAGCCUCCUGCCAGUUGUAUCGACCCCUACUAGGAUCCAGAAAGUCUCUGAUAGCCUCCAACUGCUUCUGGCCUUUGGGUGUCUGCUGCUGCCACCCUGUGCCCUCCACAUCCAGCAGUUUCUGGGGAAGGAGGAAAGUGACCGUGAGGGUGGUCUCCGCUCCCCACCCUUGCUGCUCUGCAUACCACCCAGAAGAGGCCCACCUCCAUCUCGGCCCACCUGAAGCAUGGCCACGUUUGUACUGUCAUUCAUGAAGUUGAAGAUCUGGGGUCCCAGUACUCCCCAGAGUUCGUGUAGGUCCCUCAGCAGAGCCAGCUCCUCAAAGGUCUGGUUCACCUGCAAGCGGGCAGCCAAGAUCAGCCAGGCUCCUGUCCACAUAUCUGCCCUGCCCUGGCUGUGCCAGGUCGCUGCACCUCUUCACCAUCAUAGAGCCUCAUGGCGUAGCCGUGGCUAACCUGGAACUCAGAUCUGCCUGCCUCUGCCCCCAAAUGCCGGUACAGAAUGCCAACACACCCAGCCCUAGUAUUAUUUUGAGACAGCGUCCCACCCUAUAACUUAGGUUGGAAUUCCACAUGCUCCUGCCUCAACUUCCUUCUGAGUGCUGGAACUAUAAGUCUGUGCAGUCAGGCUCUAAAGAAAGAGCCAUCCCGGGCUGGAGAGAUGGCUCAGUGGUUAAGAGUACUGACUGCUCUUCCAGAGGUCCUGAGUUCAAACCCCAGCAACCAUGUGGUGGCUCACAACCAUCUAUAAUGAGAUCUGAUGCCCUCUUCUGGUGUGUCCGAAGACAGCUACAGUGUACUCGUAUAUAAUAAAUAGAUAAAUCUUAAAAAAAAAUAGAAAAAAAGAAA